AUGCCAAGGGUCGAAGUCCCGCCGUCCUCUGCCGCCGCCGCGGCCUUCUCCUUCCACAUCGUCGCCUUCGCUCUCAUGUCCUUGCCUCUCUCGCCGUCCGUGGCCUCCAGCACGAGCCUUGCCACCUCCUCCCGCUUGACAUCGCUAUCGAUCUCCAGCCCGAUGCCCCACUCGGCGCAGGCGUACCGGCAGUUGGUCGUCUGCUCCGCGAAGAAGGGCCAGCAGACCAUCGGCACGCCCGCGCAGAUGCUCUCCAGCGUCGAGUUCCACCCGGAGUGCGUCAGGAACAGCCCGGUCGCCGGAUGCCCCAGCACCUCUUCCUGCGGGCACCAGCUCAGGAAGAUCCCUCGGCCCUUCGUCUCGGCGAGAAAAUCCUCCGGCAGCACGGCCUUGUCGCCGGCCACGAGGUCCGGCCUGAUGACCCACAGGAACGGCCGCCCGCAGCGCGCCAGGCCCCACGCGAACUCCGCCAGGUGGGCCGGCGACAUGACGGUGAUGCUGCCAAAGUUGACGUACACGACCGAGCCUGGCUGCUUCUGGGCAUCCAGCCACCGGAGGCAGCUCGUGUCCUCCUUCCAGAGGUUGCCGCCGAUCGCGCCCAGCUCCGGCCGCGCCCGCGCCGCGGUCACCGCGAACGCCGGGAGCGGGCCGACCGUGUACACGCGCGGGAAGAUGCCGCGGAGCGCGUCCACCACGUCCUGCUCCACCGCGUCGAACGUGUUGAGGAUGACGCCCUGCGCGCGGUGCGCGUUCUGCGCCUCGCCGCCGUCGAAGUUGAGCAUGACGUCGUCCCGCUCGGUCGUGCGGACGAAGCUGGGGAAGUCUCGCAGCCUUAUGCCCGGCAUCCCGGCCACCCAGUCGAGCGCCGUGUCGAGUUCCAUGCAUGGAGCGCGUAGGGGGUGGUAG
rnacentral:rRNA from 1 species